CUUUGGAGAGCCAACUUGAAGAUCCUCUCACUAGGCAACAUAGCUGGGGAGAACCCACUCUUUAGGCAUAUUAUAAGAUGGAUUUCUACAAUGCUUUCUCCUGGAAAAUACUGCAAGUAUUCAAGAGAAAUUACAAGUGCCAAAAUAAUUAUACAUUUUGGAGAAGGAGGUAAACUUAUCUCCUGACAGCUGGUAGAGCUUUAUGAAUGACCAGAAUAUUCUCAAAGAACUUGAUUCUAGCCAGUUAUUAAAUGAAGUUCUGUACCACUCUAUCUCCUGAAAAUCUCUAGGGAAUAACUUCUGAAUAUAUUAAAUAGAACUUUAAAAAAUUAAGUAAUUCUUUCAUAUUUUCCAAGUUUUCACUAAUUAAAAUCUUUCCGAAACACA